UAACUUAUUAAAAAGCGUUUAAGCUUUUUUAGUUGAGUUUAAGGUAGUAGAUAUUAAGUUAAGGUCUGAUAUUGGUUUUUUUAUUAAAGAGUUUUAGAGACAAUAAAAGUUUUAAUGUUAGAAUUAGUAAAGAAUAUAAUUAUAAUUUUUUGAGUAUUAAUCAAGCCUAACUUUGGAUGGGAAAAUUUUAGUGGGAACGGGAAAUUAAAUUUAUUUAGUGUCUUCCAACUCAGGAAAUUUUAGGUUAUAAAAGUAAAGAAAAGGAACUCGGCAAAUACAGAUUUNNNNNNNNNNNNNNNNNNNNCGCUCUUUGGAUUAAAAGCUGUUUAAAUAUAAAGAGUUCUGCCUGCCCAGUGACGUUGUUAAACGGCCGCGGUAUCUUGACCGUGCAAAGGUAGCAUAAUCAUUUGCCUUUUAAAUGGAGGCUGGUAUGAAUGGCAAGACGGAAAUCUAGCUGUCUCUUUUUUAAUAUCUUAAAUUUAAUUUUUUUGUGAAGAAGCAAAAAUAUAGUCGUAGGACGAGAAGACCCUGUUGAGCUUUAAUAAAAUUUGUAGAUAUUUGAGAAUCUUUAUUGCUAAUAAUUUUAAGUUUUUUUUAAAAUAAUAUUACAAUUAAGGGAGGUAUAUAUUAUAAAGACUAUUUUGAUUGGGGCAAUCGCGGAGAAAAAGAAUCCUCCGUUUUAAAUUAUAAUUUUAAAGGAACAUCUUUGAGUGUGUAGGGUAUACUGUUAUGACCCACUUUUAUUAGUGAGCAAAGGAACAAGUUACCACAGGGAUAACAGCGUAAUUUUUUUGGAGAGUUCAUAUUGAUAAGAAAGUUUGCGACCUCGAUGUUGGAUCGGGAUAUCCAGGAGAUGCAGCAGUUUCCAAGGGUUGGUCUGUUCGACCAUUAAAAUCCU
rnacentral:rRNA from 1 species